rnacentral:sRNA from 12 species
ACGGGAAGACGAACCAACCCGUACUUAAGUUUGGUUCUUACGUUAAUAAAGGAAAUACAAAAUG